rnacentral:rRNA from 1 species
AGUGAACGCUGGCGGUAGGCCUAACACAUGCAAGUCGAACGGCAGCACAGUAAGAGCUUGCUCUUACGGGUGGCGAGUGGCGGACGGGUGAGGGAGACAUCGGAAUCUACUUUUUCGUGGGGGAUAACGUAGGGAAACUUACGCUAAUACCGCAUACGACCUACGGGUGAAUGCAGGGGAUCUUCGGACCUUGCGCGAUUGAAUGAGCCGAUGUCGGAUUAGCUAGUUGGUGGGGUAACGGCCCACCAAGGCGACGAUCCGUAGCUGGUCUGAGAGGAUGAUCGGCCACACUGGAACUGAGACACGGUCCAGACUCCUACGGGAGGCAGCAGUGGGGAAUAUUGGACAAUGGGCGCAAGCCUGAUCCAGCCAUACCGCGUGGGUGAAGAAGGCCUUCGGGUUGUAAAGCCCUUUUGUUGGGAAAGAAAAGCAGCAGGUUAAUACCCCGCUGUUCUGACGGUACCCAAAGAAUAAGCACCGGCUAACUUCGUG